rnacentral:rRNA from 1 species
UGGGGGAUAUUGCACAAUGGAGGCAACUCUGAUGCAGCAACGCCGCGUGAGUGAAGAAGGCUUUCGAGUCGUAAAACUCUGUCGUAUGGGAAGAAAAAAAUGACGGUACCAUACAAGAAAGCCCCGGCUAACUACGUGCCAGCAGCCGCGGUAAUACGUAGGGGGCAAGCGUUAUCCGGAAUUACUGGGCGUAAAGGGUGCGUAGGCGGUAAUAUAAGUUGGAGUUUUAAACCAUGGGCUCAACCCAUGUCAGGCUCCAAAACUGUAUAACUUGAGUACUGGAGAGGAAAGUGGAAUUCCUAGUGUAGCGGUGAAAUGCGUAGAUAUUAGGAGGAAUACCGGUGGCGAAGGCGACUUUCUGGACAGUAACUGACGCUGAGGCACGAAAGCGUGGGUAGCAAACAGG